GUGGAUUAGAUACCCUGGUAGUCCACGCCCUAAACGAUGUCAACUAGGUGUUGGGAGGGUAAAACCUUUUAGUACCGGAGCUAACGCGUGAAGUUGACCGCCUGGGGAGUACGGCCGCAAGGUUAAAACUCAAAGGAAUUGACGGGGACCCGCACAAGCGGUGGAUGAUGUGGAUUAAUUCGAUGCAACGCGAAAAACCUUACCUACCCUUGACAUGUUCAGAAGUCUUGAGAGAUUGAGAUGUGCCCGAAAGGGAACUGGAACACAGGUGCUGCAUGGCCGUCGCCAGCU
rnacentral:rRNA from 1 species